GCGUCGCCAUGAAGGUGGAGCUGUGCAGUUUUAGCGGGUACAAGAUCUACCCCGGACACGGGAGGCGCUACGCCAGGACCGACGGGAAGGUUUUCCAGUUUCUUAAUGCAAAAUGCGAGUCGGCGUUCCUUUCCAAGAGGAAUCCUCGGCAGAUAAACUGGACUGUCCUCUACAGAAGGAAGCACAAAAAGGGACAGUCGGAAGAAAUUCAAAAGAAAAGAACCCGCCGUGCAGUCAAAUUCCAGAGGGCCAUUACUGGUGCAUCUCUUGCUGAUAUAAUCUAA